CACUAGCCAACUCCUAUCCCUACCUCCUCGUGGUACCGGCCGGAAACUAUGAGCAACCUUAGGGAAGAUCGGGUAACCAACCCCGGUGGGAACUUUGGUCGUAGGCUGACAGGGAAGG
rnacentral:ribozyme from 1 species